rnacentral:tRNA from 1 species
ACCUGGGUGGCUCAGUCAGUUAAGCAUCUGACUUUAGCUCAGGUCAUGAUCUCACUGCUUGUGAGUUCGAGCCCCGCAUCAGGUU